UACGAAGGGGGCUAGCGUUGCUCGGAAUGACUGGGCGUAAAGAGCGUGUAGGCGGCCAGACAGGUCCACUGUGAAAACUCGAGGCUCAACCCCGGGCCUGCAGUGGGUACGGGCAGACUAGAGUGCGGUAGGGGAGACUGGAAUUCCUGGUGUAGCGGUGAAAUGCGCAGAUAUCAGGAGGAACACCGGUGGCGAAGGCGGGUCUCUGGGCCGUAACUGACGCUGAGGAGCGAAAGCGUGGGGAGCGAACAGG
rnacentral:rRNA from 1 species